GCUCUUCGGGGUUGUGUUUUCUUUCCAAAAAACUUGGCAACGCAGCAGCCAAUGUCACAGCGUAAAAGCGUCUCCGUUUGACUUCCAAGACUUUCUACAGUUAAACAACAAUGGUUACUCGUCGAGUUUGUUGUGUUGAUAAGUGUAAAAAUACAAAUAGUGGAUGUGUAAAGCUAUUUGCGUUACCUAAAGAUAGUUUACGACGCCAACAAUGGUUAGGUAAAUUGAAAUUAAGGAAGUUGAGGUGUAACACCAAAAUAGAAAACGUUCGUGUGUGUUCAAUUCAUUUUGUAACAGGAAAACCAGCGUUACCUUAUUAUCCAUCCAAUCACAUAGAUUGGGUUCCAACAUGUUUUUUGGACGGCAUGCGUGAGAAACUUGGUGAUAAAUUGUAAACUUGUUGAUAAAAGUAAUAAUGAAUCAAUCGAGUAACAACAAUACAAUGUAUAACGCUGUUAA